UGCAAACACUCUGGGAGGAGAAGGAAACCUGGCUGCUCCGGAAAUCAAUAUGUUGAGCGCUUCAGCGUAUCAAGUAGAGGAAGUGUUUGCCAGAACAGGAUCGCUUUAAAACUCGUGGAGCAACAGGGAAGGUGUUGUACGUAGCUGUGGUAGAUGGGCUUUACUGUGCCAGAUGACACAACAUGCAAAGAUAACUGCACUGCAAGUGAUGAAUACCUUUUGCUCACGGUGUGCACCGCCAUUAAUCCUCUGCACAGAUCAGUCAGAUGAUGGUUGAUCAGCAGAACCUCUGCAGACUUUGACACACUGAGGAUAUUUGGACCAUUUCAGUGAGCUGUGUUGGAGCAGAGACACAUCUACACCAGCCCUUGAGGAUGGGAGCUAAACACCCAGGACCUAGUCCUUCUGUCUGUGAUGACUGUGGAAGCUGUGUCGUGUGUCCCGAGCUUUACAGGAAAACUGAAGCUCUGGCACAGGAGACUUGGAAAAAACAACUGACUGGAAACUGAAAGCAACUGGAGCACAGAGAAGCUAGCACGGAAGAUACUUGACAGUGAAAAAUAGGAGAAUCUGACGAGCUUAUGACUACUUGGAGAAUUGAUGAGUGGCAUGAGAACCAGGUGUGACUAAUAAGGAG